CCUUCGAUAGCUCAGCUGGUAGAGCGGAGGACUGUAGAGUUAGGCCCCUACGGACAUCCUUAGGUCGCUGGUUCGAUUCCGGCUCGAAGGA
rnacentral:tRNA from 1 species